AGUUUUAUUGAAUUCCAAGUCAAAAUUCUAAGCCGAUUUUUUUAACAAAAAGUCGGGCUUAAAAUGUUGAGCUUAAUUAAUCAAGUAAAACUAGAUAAUUUACCAAUAGAUGGCUACACUGUUUAGUGUUUAGUGGAUCCUGCAGUAGAAAUUCAUGGUUCAUCAGAUGUGGCCUAGUUGUUAGGGAUUCGAGACGUUUUCAGCGAGGGGAUAAUGUUCAGUGCGAUCCGUUUUAAACAUUCUUUUGGCUACUGGUUGGAAUAGACUAAAAUUUGCAAUUUUUUCGUACCAACCUUAGGGACAAUUUUUUCCCACAACACACCAUUGUUUGUAUUGAUUGUUGUUGUAGUAGGUUAUGACGUAACUGAAAUAACCAUUCGUCUGAAGUGCGCCACCGCCAUUGUCAACACGAAUCAUCUUCUGAUACGUUGUCCGGUUUUAAAAAAUCUUUUAUUACUUAAAUGUAUUUUUGUAAUUCCUUGGCCCUUGACACUAUUUAACCAACAAAGAAACCGCCUUUUUCAUCUUGCCAUUAACACGGAUACCUUUGUCUAAUCUGAUCGUGUAAACAUGCUGAUCCGAUCUUGCCACUGGCCGAAGCCUUUUUUUUCAAAUUUUGCAUCCUUCCAUUUAAAGAUAUCUAAUACAAGCAUUCUGGCAUGUGUCAGGCAAUAGGGUACAGGAAUCGCAUGGUCCCCUUUAGGUGUCAAGCCUGGCCUACACCCUCUGUAAUUGAAACUGUAUUGGUAAAAGUAAUUACAUUGAGGUAGAGUGUCAAUUUGGGACUUGAUUUGUCAUCUGUUGGUCAAGGUGGAAAAACAGGGAUUGGAUCAACAAUUUUAUUCCCACACUCAUUUUUGGAAUUCUUGGAUCAUAGCUGUUGUUGCAGGACACUCCUUGUUUGGGACUUGAUUUGUCACCAUUUGUCGAUUUGGAAAAACAGGGAUUGGACCAACCAUUUUAUUCCCACACUUAUCAUUGGAAUUCUAGCAUGGUAGCUGUUGUUGCAGGACACUCCUUGGUUCGUUAGUGAGGUUCCAGAAAGCAGCAUUCCAAGAGCAAGAAUCUAGUUUACAGGCUAUUACCACAAUCUAUAAUGUUUAACUUUGUUUUCCUGCCUUGAUGGUGAAAUUGAAUUAUAUUGGAAUCUAAAAAUUUGAGAAGCUAUUUUUGCUUACUAGUGAGAAAGCAUAUGUUAAGAGUUGCUGAAAUGUGUGAAACAUGCAAUAUGCAAAACUUU